CCCAGCUGCUGACAAGAAGAGGUCCAGUGAGUGAUCAUCCCUGUCCUAGAGAGUGCUGUUCAUUGAUUCAAGUUUCGGCAGAAUUCAAUUAAAUCCAGCAUGCAUGUAUGGAGUGCCUGCAGUGUGCCUGCCACCCUUUGAGGUGCUGAGGGGGGAAGCUAAGAUGAAUCAGCUCCCAGCUUUUGCUUCUCACAAUCUGGCAAGAAAGACCAGCAAGAAAAAGCAUUUAUUCAAAGAAACCAAUGAAACAGAUUUUUCUCCAAAGGAACAAAAACGCACCGAAUGUGGACUCUAGCCUAAAGGAGAGAUUAACUGUUUCCAGAAGGUCUGAGAAGUAUCUUUUUGGAGGAACUGGCUUUUUAAAUUUACUUAGAGAUAUGGAUCUGCCAUUUGGAACAAAGGAAGGAAAUGUGUAUUUGAGAUUGGAUUGUACAUCUGCCACAGGGCAAGAAUGGCACGUGGGAUCACAGCGCUCUGACCAGGGAUCGAACCUGCACCCCUGGAAUUGGAAGGCUAAGUCUUAAUCACUGGACCUCCAGGGAACUCCCCCCUCCCAUUGCAAAGGGAUAACUCAAGGCUGCCCAGGUGGCUCAAAUGGUAAAGAAUCUCCUGCAAUGAGA